rnacentral:tRNA from 1 species
GCCGGGGUGGCGAAAUUGGCAGACGCGUACGCCUUAGGAGCGUAUGGAGCAAUCCUUGGAGGUUCAAGUCCUCUCCUCGGCA